UCGGCUCGGCUCGGCCCGGCCCGCCCCGCUCCGCCCCGCCGCGCCGCGCAGCAUGGCCGGCUUCGCCGACCUGAACCUGCCGCAGGGGCCGGACAAGAAGUCCCUGCAGAGCCUGCUGGAGGCCGCAGCGCACUUGGGAUAUUCUGCAGUUGCUCUUAAUCAUGUCAUCGAUUUUAAAGAAAAGAAACAGGAAAUCGUUAAGCCAGUAUCUCCUUUGGAGUUGUUUCCAUCUUUGCCUAUUGUACAAGGGACAUCUAAAAGAAUUAAAGUCUUAACUCGGCUAACACUUGUUGUUUCUGAUCCUUCCCACUGUAAUCUCUUGAGAUCAACAUCUGCGAAUAUAAGGUUAUAUGACAUCAUAGCAGUAUUUCCGAAGACUGAGAAACUGUUCCAUAUUGCUUGCACAACUCUGGAUGUGGAUCUGGUAUGCAUAAAUGUAACAGAAAAGCUGCCAUUCUACUUCCGAAGGCCCCCUGUGAAUAUGGCAGUAGAUCGAGGCAUUUGCUUUGAACUUCUUUACGCGCCUGCCAUCAAAGACUCCACAAUGAGAAGAUACACAAUUUCAAAUGCGAUCAGCCUGAUGCAGAUCUGCAAAGGAAAGAACAUUGUUAUAUCUAGUGCAGCUGAAAGGCCUCUAGAACUACGAGGUCCUUACGACGUGGCUAAUCUGUAUCCUUUUUCCAAGUCAAAGACAGCAGUUAAUAGUAACAUGUGAAAGUUCAAAGUGGUUUCGAAAUACUUCCGUCCUUUACACUCCUUGAACUUUAUACAGUGAUGCUUGUUGGUGACCAGUGAAUCAGAGCUCUAAGUGGGUGUGGAAGGUGCAACAGGUCUUGGUCAUGGGGUGGCAUGAGCAGUCACUGUAAAUAGAAAUGUCUUUGUUCAGCUACAGAUAUGUUUUGUUGUGAUAUGCAUUGAUACUGUGUUGGGUGUAAGUGGAGAAAUGAAUAAAACCCAUAAAAAUCUAUGGAAACUGUGAACCAAAUCAGAAAUUAUUACUUAUGAUCUCCAAAGUGCCACAUCUUUGGCAGAAGCAGCUAUAGAAUCAUAUUUAUAUUAAGGAAGAAAAAUUUCUGAGUUUUCCAGUCCUUAGUUACAUACGUGCUGUUAAAUAACUGGUUGUGUUCUAGAAACCAAGAGUGUCUUAUCUCCCCUUCUUUUUGGAAUUCGGAUGCAUUUUUACUAUUCACCGCUCCCCGCCCCACAAGUGCGUAUUUGAACUGUCCCUUGAAGGGGAGGAGUGUGCUCUGAAUCGUGAGAACCAUGUGGGAGGGUCUGCGGCCUGGAAGGAUUUUAUGCACAAUGUUUCCUUCCUUCUUAAAAGAGCAGUCAAGCUCAACCCAAAUUAAGGUACCUAAUCUGGUGUCAUCCCUGCUCAAGGUGGCUGGGAACUUUUCAGCAUAAUGCUUUUGUAUUCGACAGUGCCCUUUCCCCAAAACUAAAGUUUUCAAUGGGGUAAUUUUUCUGCUUGAUUAUGCAUAUAAAAAUGUUCCUGUGUUGACAGACUUUUAUUUUCAGAAGUACAGCUUCUUGUCUGGAAAAAAGCAACUUUGCCAGGAGCUUUCCAGGAGGGCUGCUGGGGAACUGCAGCCAGGAGAAUUGGGUGCCUCAAUUUCCUGCCUCUGGGUGACAGAGGUUUGCUGUUUGGCCUGUCAGAAAGUGAAGCCAAGGCAGCUGUGUCUACCAACUGCAGAGCCACCAUACUUCAUGGAG